UACGUAGGGGGCAAGCGUUGUCCGGAUUUAUUGGGCGUAAAGAGCGUGUAGGCGGCUUCACAGGUCUGCUGUGAAAACUCGAGGCUCAACCUCGAGCUGUCGGUGGAAACCGUGGGGCUAGAGUCCGGAAGAGGAGAGUGGAAUUCCCGGUGUAGCGGUGAAAUGCGUAGAGAUGUGGAGGAAUACCGAUGGCGAAGGCAGCCCCCUGGGCCAAUACUGACGCUCAUGCACGAAAGCGUGGGGAGCAAACAGG
rnacentral:rRNA from 1 species